rnacentral:rRNA from 1 species
UUAGUGGCGAACGGGUGAGUAACACGUGGGCAAUCUGCCCUUCACUCUGGGACAAGCCCUGGAAACGGGGUCUAAUACCGGAUACGACCACCGACCGCAUGGUCUGGUGGUGGAAAGCUCCGGCGGUGAAGGAUGAGCCCGCGGCCUAUCAGCUUGUUGGUGGGGUGAUGGCCUACCAAGGCGACGACGGGUAGCCGGCCUGAGAGGGCGACCGGCCACACUGGGACUGAGACACGGCCCAGACUCCUACGGGAGGCAGCAGUGGGGAAUAUUGCACAAUGGGCGAAAGCCUGAUGCAGCGACGCCGCGUGAGGGAUGACGGCCUUCGGGUUGUAAACCUCUUUCAGCAGGGAAGAAGCGAAAGUGACGGUACCUGCAGAAGAAGCGCCGGCUAACUACGUGCCAGCAGCCGCGGUAAUACGUAGGGCGCAAGCGUUGUCCGGAAUUAUUGGGCGUAAAGAGCUCGUAGGCGGCUUGUCACGUCGGAUGUGAAAGCCCGGGGCUUAACCCCGGGUCUGCAUUCGAUACGGGCAGGCUAGAGUUCGGUAGGGGAGAUCGGAAUUCCUGGUGUAGCGGUGAAAUGCGCAGAUAUCAGGAGGAACACCGGUGGCGAAGGCGGAUCUCUGGGCCGAUACUGACGCUGAGGAGCGAAAGCGUGGGGAGCGAACAGGAUUAG